UACGGAGGGUGCAAGCGUUGUCCGGAUUUAUUGGGUUUAAAGGGUGCGUAGGCGGCCUUGUAAGUCAGUGGUGAAAGCCCAUCGCUCAACGAUGGAACUGCCAUUGAUACUGCAAGGCUUGAGUACAGACGAGGUUGGCGGAAUUGAUGGUGUAGCGGUGAAAUGCAUAGAUACCAUCAAGAACACCGAUUGCGUAGGCAGCUAACUAGGCUGUAACUGACGCUGAGGCACGAAAGCGUGGGGAGCGAACAGGAUUAGAUACCCCCGUAGUCC
rnacentral:rRNA from 1 species